rnacentral:tRNA from 1 species
GCGGGUAAGAUCGAGGUGAUCCGCCAGCCUUCCAAGCUGCGCAGUUAGGGUUCGAAUCCCUAUAUCCGCUCCA